AAAGGUUGGCACUACUGAAGAGUCUGCCAUGUCAGGAGACCCACCGCAGCUCCUGGACAGAAUGUCCUCCAAAGGUACCUCUGAGAUUCCAGAGGAGGGAUGCACAGCCAGGGAGAGAGAGAUCACA